rnacentral:rRNA from 1 species
GACGAACGCUGGCGGCGUGCCUAAUACAUGCAAGUCGAACGAAGCUGUUUUAACUGGUGCUUGCACCGACUUAAACAACUGAGUGGCGAACGGGUGAGUAACACGUGGGUAACCUGCCCCAAAGCGGGGGAUAACAUUUGGAAACAGAUGCUAAUACCGCAUAACCACAGAAACCACAUGGUUUCUGUGUCAAAGAUGGUUUCGGCUAUCACUUUGGGAUGGACCCGCGGCGUAUUAGCUAGUUGGUAAGGUAAUGGCUUACCAAGGCAAUGAUACGGAGCCGAACUAAGAGGUUGAUCGGCCACAUGGGGACUGAGACACGGCCCAAACUCCUACGGGAGGCAGCAGUAGGGAAUAUUCCACAAUGGACGAAAGUCUGAUGGAGCAACGCCGCGUGAGUGAAGAAGGUUUUCGGAUCGUAAAACUCUGUUGUUAAAGAAGAACGUAUCUAAGAGUAACUGCUUAGGUAGUGACGGUAUUUAACCAGAAAGCCACGGCUAACUACGUGCCAGCAGCCGCCGUAA